rnacentral:tRNA from 3 species
GCCCGCGUGGCACAAUUGGUCAGCGCGUGAGACUUUUAAUCUCAAGGUUGAGAGUUCGAGCCUCUCCGCGGGCG